rnacentral:rRNA from 1 species
UACGAAGGGGGCUAGCGUUGUUCGGAAUUACUGGGCGUAAAGCGCGCGUAGGUGGUUUUCCAAGUCGGGCGUGAAAGCCCCGGGCUCAACCCGGGAAAUGCGCUCGAAACUUGAAGACUGGAGGCCGGAAGAGGGUAGUGGAAUUCCCAGUGUAGAGGUGAAAUUCGUAGAUAUUGGGAAGAACACCAGUGGCGAAGGCGGCUACCUGGUCCGGAUCUGACGCUGAGGCGCGAAAGCGUGGGGAGCAAACAGG